GGGCAUGGUAAUGUGCGCCUGUAAUCCCAGCUACUGGAGAGGCUUAGGUGGUGGAAGGAUUGCUUGAGCCCAGGAGUUUUCGGCUGUGCACCAUGCUGAUUGGGUAUCUGCACUAAGUUCAUAUCAAUAUGGUGAUCUCCUGGGAGCCAGGUACUACCAGCCUGCCUAAGGAGGGGCGAACUGGUCCAGUUUGGAAAUGGAACAGGUAAAAAUUUUGUGCUCAGCAGUUGGGGUAGUGCCUGUGAGUAGCUACUACAAUCCAACCUAGGUAGCGUAGCGACACUGUCUC
ensembl:misc_RNA Metazoa_SRP Metazoan signal recognition particle RNA